rnacentral:rRNA from 1 species
GACGAACGCUGGCGGCGUGCCUAACACAUGCAAGUCGAGCGAAGUAUCUAGAAAAGAUUUUUUCGGAAUGAUUUUUUAGAUAUCUUAGCGGCGGACGGGUGAGUAAUGCGUGAGCAACCUGCCUUUCACAAAGGGAUAGCCUCGGGAAACUGGGAUUAAUACCAUAUGAAACUUGAGAAUCACAUGAAUUUCAAGUUAAAGCGUAAAGCGGUGAAAGAUGGGCUCACGUCCCAUUAGUUAGUUGGUGAGGUAACGGCUCACCAAGACUGCGAUGGGUAGCCGGCCUGAGAGGGUGAACGGCCACACUGGAACUGAGACACGGUCCAGACUCCUACGGGAGGCAGCAGUAGGGAAUUUUCGGCAAUGGGGGGAACCCUGACCGAGCGACGCCGCGUGAACGAAGAAGCACCUAGGUGCGUAAAGUUCUUUUAUUAGGGAAGAAUGUCAUAAAGAGGA